GGAGUGGUACUCAAGAGGCUGAAGAGGACGGUUUGCUAAAUCGUUAGUAGGGCAACCUAGCGUGGGUUCGAAUCCCACCCACUCCGCCA
rnacentral:tRNA from 1 species